rnacentral:sRNA from 1 species
GGUUUGACAGAAUAGUAGAGACAUACAUAUAUAACCCAGUUAGACAUUAGUGGAAAGACCCUGGGCAGACGUUGCUAUCCAGUUCGGGCUUUUUUUUUGUUUAUUGAAAUAUCACAGCAGACGAUCAAAUAUUAAACUUUUUUUUACUCCAUUUAUCGAAAAUGGGUCACUCGGUUUAUUUUUUCUGUGUUUGGACUUUAACUCUAUGGGGUUUCUUCAGUAUCAGCAAAGCUUGUUUACAAGAAGGAAGUCAGUGUGCCAGAGUGAUGCAAACAGGAGA